rnacentral:rRNA from 1 species
AGAGUUUGAUCCUGGCUCAGGAUGAACGCUAGCGACAGGCUUAACACAUGCAAGUCGAGGGGCAGCGGGGCGGCAGCAAUGCCGCCGCCGGCGACCGGCGCACUGGUGAGUAACACGUAUGCGACCUGCCCCGGACAGGGGGACAAGCCCGGGAAACUGGGUCUAAUACCCCGUAAGCCGGCCGGAUGCAUGUCCUGCCGGUGAAAGAUCCGUCGGUCCGGGAUGGGCAUGCGGCGCAUUAGCUUGUUGGCGGGGCAACGGCCCACCAAGGCGACGAUGCGUAGGGGUUCUGAGAGGAAGGUCCCCCACAUUGGUACUGAGACACGGACCAAACUCCUACGGGAGGCAGCAGUGAGGAAUAUUGGUCAAUGGACGCGAGUCUGAACCAGCCAAGUCGCGUGCGGGACGAAGGCCCUUCGGGUCGUAAACCGCUUUAGCCGGGGAGUAACGUGCGGGUCGGGACCCGCAGUGAGAGUACCCGGAGAAUAAGCAUCGGCUAACUCCGUGCCAGCAGCCGCGGUAAUACGGAGGAUGCGAGCGUUAUCCGGAUUUAUUGGGUUUAAAGGGUGCGCAGGCGGCACGUCAAGUCAGCGGUCAAAAUUCGGCGCUCAACGCCGUCCCGCCGUUGAAACUGGCGCGCUCGAGUUCGUGCGAGGCAGGCGGAAUGCGCGGUGUAGCGGUGAAAUGCAUAGAUAUCGCGCAGAACUCCGAUUGCGAAGGCAGCCUUCCAGCACGCGACUGACGCUCAUGCACGAAAGCGUGGGUAUCGAACAGGAUUAGAUACCCUGGUAGUCCACGCGGUA